UGGGGAAUAUUGCACAAUGGGCGCAAGCCUGAUGCAGCCAUGCCGCGUGUAUGAAGAAGGCCUUCGGGUUGUAAAGUACUUUCAGCGAGGAGGAAGGUGUUGAGGUUAAUAACCUCAGCAAUUGACGUUACUCGCAGAAGAAGCACCGGCUAACUCCGUGCCAGCAGCCGCGGUAAUACGGAGGGUGCAAGCGUUAAUCGGAAUUACUGGGCGUAAAGCGCACGCAGGCGGUCUUUCAAGUCGGAUGUGAAAUCCCCGGGCUCAACCUGGGAACUGCAUUCGAAACUGGCAGGCUAGAUUCUUGUAGAGGGGGGUAGAAUGCCAGGUGUAGCGGUGAAAUGCGUAGAGAUCUGGAGGAAUACCGGUGGCGAAGGCGGCCCCCUGGACAAAGACUGACGCUCAGGUGCGAAAGCGUGGGGAGCAAACA
rnacentral:rRNA from 1 species